rnacentral:rRNA from 1 species
GUAGUCAUAUGCUUGUCUCAAAGAUUAAGCCAUGCAUGUCUAAGUAUAAGCAAUUAUACAGCGAAACUGCGAAUGGCUCAUUAUAUAAGUUAUCGUUUAUUUGAUAGUACCUUACUACUUGGAUAACCGUGGUAAUUCUAGAGCUAAUACAUGCUAAAAAUCCCGACUUCGGAAGGGAUGUAUUUAUUAGAUUAAAAACCAAUGCCCUCUGGGCUCCUUGGUGAUUCAUGAUAACUUCUCGAAUCGCAUGGCCUUGUGCCGGCGAUGGUUCAUUCAAAUUUCUUCCCUAUCAACUUUCGAUGUUUGGGUAGUGGCCAAACAUGGUUGCAACGGGUAACGGGGAAU